ensembl:lncRNA THUMPD3-AS1 THUMPD3 antisense RNA 1
GGAAGCCGCCGGGGCCGCCUAGAGAAGAGGCUGUGCUUCGGCGCUCCGGCUCCUCAGAGAGCCUCGGCUAGGUGUGGAAACAGGAAGAGAACUAGAACUGGAAGUAAAGCAUUGAAGAUGUGACUGAAUUGCUGCAAUCUCAUGAUCAAAUUUGAAUGGAUGAGGAGUUGCUUUUUAGGGAUGAGCAAAGAAAGUGGUUUCUCGAGAUGGAAUCUACUGGUGAAGUUGCUGUGAACAUUGUUAAAAUGCCAAUAAAGGAUUUAGGAAUUACAGAAACCUGGUUGAUAAAGCAGUGCCAGGGUGUGAGAGAGUUGACUUCAAUUUUGAAAUAAGUUCCACUGGCUGGGUGUGGUGGCUCACACCUGCAAUCCCAGUACUUUAGGAGGCCGAGACUGGUAGAUCAUUUGAGGUCAGGAGUUCAAGACCAGCCUUGCCAACAUGGUGAAACCCCACCUCUACCAAAUUAGCCAGGUUGCUCCUUGAGGGCAGGACAGUUCUUAUGGCUUUAUCCGUUGCGUAAGCACAGAGAGGUCUGCGAGGUCAAAACUAUUGUCAUGAUAGCAAGAUGCCUGUCUUUUUCAUUUAUUCUCACGGUGUGCAGAGGCUACAUGAUGUGUGAUGACAUCCUCAUUGAUGUUAAUGAAUGGUGCUAUACUUGAAUUUUCUAAGGUGUCAUUAGGUAGGUUUAGGUAUGCAUACUUGUUUUUAGAAAUUAUUUUUUUCCUUUUUCCCAUUUUUAGAAAUCAACUCAUUUUUUAGGUUAUGCCUUCAGUAAUCUUUGCAACCUCAAUAUUGUGUAAUGGUUACUUUAAAAUACUGUAGUUUUCUUUGUGCCUAAGUAUAAACAUAAGUACAUUUUGUUGUUUUGUUUGCAAUAGUGGUUUAAAUAUUUUCCCAAAAUAUCCAAAUUUAAAAAUUCUACAACUUUAGAAUUUAAUAAAUUUAUUCUAAAAUAUUUAUAUAUUUUUUCAUUUAAGAAUGGAUCGGCUUAAAAAGACUGCUUCUCAUUUACUUACUGGCUAUACCAUCUGUAUACUAAUAAAAAACAAGAUUUGAUUUGGAAGGACUGACUCAAACUAACGAAAAUAUGAAACCUGUCUUUCUGCUUUGGAGAUAUUUACCUAAUCAUGUUCUGCAGUAGAAUAAUUUAGUUCUUUUGUCUUUUUUUGGAGAUGAGGUCUUGCUGUGUUGCCCAGGCUAUUCACAGCUGCCAUCAUAGUGAACUACAGCCUGAAACUCCUGGGUUCAAGAGAUCCUUCUGCCUCAGCCUCCUGAGUAGCUGGAACUAUAGGCAUGCGCCACCAAGCCUGGGCUUUUAAAAAAAUUUUAAAAAGAAUUUUGAGACAGGAUCUUGCCAUGUUGCUCAGGCUAGUCUUCAACUCCUAGCCCUGAGUGAUCUUGCUUUGGGCCUCUCAAAAUGUUGAGUUAAUAGGCGUGAGCCACCAUACCCAGCCAAAAAUUUUUUUAGAGAUGGGAAUGGAAUGAUCUUGAAUAGUGUUGGUGCCACCUAUGUUGUGGCAUCAUUUUGAAACCAAUCAUUCAGAGUGCUUUUUUUGGUAAGGCAUUAUUUUUUAAUGCAGGUAUGCCACUACUGGGAAAAAAAAAAAAACAGGUUUUAAAGCUAGAAAUGAAAAGCUACUUAAGUAUCUUAAAGGAUAAGUUACUUUAUUAUACACUAGAAACAUACACAAUAGCUGAAAAACUUAAAAAAUCUCACACUGCUGAAUGUCUCUGCUGGCUGAAGUGUAAGUAAAAGAUCAUAGUAGUGCCGCUGUUGAGUGAUAAAGCAACUUGUCAUUAAAGAUGUGUGUGCAGACAUGGAUUCUGAGUUAAUAUCUCAUCUGUAGAAGUAUAUAUUUGUCCCUUGCUUUGGGAUUGGUUUCUGGACAGCACUCCCCCACCCUUGCUGGCCAUUUGCCAAGGACACCAAAACCCAAGGAUGUUGAAUUCCCUUUUAUAAAAUGGCGCUGUAUCUGCAUACAACUUACACACAUCCUCCCAUAUACUUUAAAUCAUUUCCAGAUUUCUUAUACUUCAUACAAUGUGAAUGCUAUAUAAAUAGUUGUUACAUUGUGUACUUAUAUUUGUACUAUUGUAUUAAAUAUUCUCAAAUAUU